rnacentral:rRNA from 1 species
CGGAAUGCUUUACACUGCAAGUCGAACGGCAGCAUGGAGAGCUUGCUCUCUGAUGGCGAGUGGCGAACGGGUGAGUAAUAUAUCGGAACGUGCCUAGUAAUGGGGAAUAACUAGCUGAAAGGUUAGCUAAUGCCGCAUACGACCUACGGGUGAAAGCAGGGGAUCUUCGGACCUUGCGUUAUUAGAGCGGCCGAUAUCUGAUUAGCUUGUUGGUGGGGUAAUGGCCUACCAAGGCGACGAUCAGUAGCUGGUCUGAGAGGACGAUCAGCCACACUGGAACUGAGACACGGUCCAGACUCCUACGGGAGGCAGCAGUGGGGAAUUUUGGACAAUGGGGGAAACCCUGAUCCAGCCAUUCCGCGUGAGUGAAGAAGGCCUUCGGGUUGUAAAGCUCUUUCGCAAGAGAAGAAAACUUGCUAUCUAAUAAAUAGUAAGCAUGACGGAUCUUGACAAGAAGCACCGG